rnacentral:tRNA from 1 species
GGCACGGUGGUGCAGUGGGUAGCACUGUUGCCUCACAGCAAGAAGGUCACGGGUUCGAAUCUUGGAUUGGGGCCU